rnacentral:rRNA from 1 species
GAAAGCGUAAUAGCUCACUAGUCGAGUCGGCCUGCGCGGAAGAUGUAACGGGGCUAAGCAAUAUACCGAAGCUGCGGAUACGUGUUUACACGUAUGGUAGGGGAGCGUUGUGUAAGUGGAUGAAGGUGGAUUGAGAAGUCUGCUGGACAUAUCACAAGUGCGAAUGCUGACAUGAGUAACGAUAAUGGGAGUGAAAAACUCCCACGCCGGAAGACCAAGGUUUCCUGUCCCAUGCUAAUCAGGGCAGGGUAAGUCGGCCCCUAAGGCGAGGCAGAAAUGCGUAGUCGAUGGGAAACGGAUUAAUAUUUCCGUACUUAUAUAAUCAGUGAUGGAGGGACGGAGAAGGCUAAGCAAGCUUGGCGUUGGUUGUCCAAGUGAAAGCAAGUAGGCCGAGAAUUUAGGUAAAUCCGGAUUCUUAAAGCUGAGAUGCGAGACGAGCCACUACGGUGGUGAAGUUGUUGAUGCCCUGCUUCCAGGAAAAGCUUCUAAACUUAUGAUUAUAUGAACCGUACCCCAAACCGACACAGGUGGUCAGGUAGAGAAUACUAAGGCGCUUGAGAGAACUCGGGUGAAGGAACUCGGCAAAAUUGUACCGUAACUUCGGGAGAAGGUACGCCCUUGUUUGUGAUAGGACUUGCUCCUUGAGCAGAUGAGGGCCGCAGUGACCAGGUGGCUGGGACUGUUUAUUAAAAACACAGCACUCUGCUAACUCGCAAGAGGACGUAUAGGGUGUGACACCUGCCCGGUGCCGGAAGGUUAAUUGAUGGGGUUAUCUUCGGAGAAGCUCUUGAUCGAAGCCCCGGUAAACGGCGGCCGUAACUAUAACGGUCCUAAGGUAGCGAAAUUCCUUGUCGGGUAAGUUCCGACCUGCACGAAUGGUGUAACCAUGGCCACGCUGUCUCCACCCGAGACUCAGUGAAAUUGAAAUCGCAGUGAAGAUGCUGUGUACCCGCACCUAGACGGAAAGACCCCGUGAACCUUUACUACAGCUUGGCACUGAACAUUGAACCUACAUGUGUAGGAUAGGUGGGAGGCUUCGAAGCACAGUCGCUAGAUUGUGUGGAGCCGUCCUUGAAAUACCACCCUUGUAUGUUUGAUGUUCUAACAUUGGUCCCUUAUCGGGAUUAUGGACAGUGUCUGGUGGGUAGUUUGACUGGGGCGGUCUCCUCCCAAAUAGUAACGGAGGAGCACGAAGGUUAGCUAAUCACGGUCGGACAUCGUGAGGUUAGUGCAAUGGCAUAAGCUAGCUUAACUGCGAGACAGACACGUCGAGCAGGUACGAAAGUAGGUCAUAGUGAUC